AUACGGAGGAUCCGAGCGUUAUCCGGAUUUAUUGGGUUUAAAGGGUGCGCAGGCGGCCAUUUAAGUCAGCGGUUAAAUCGUGGGGCUCAACCCCAUUCUGCCGUUGAUACUGGGUGGCUUGAUUGCGGUCGAGGUUGGCGGAAUUCGUUGUGUAGCGGUGAAAUGCAUAGAUAUGACGAAGAACACCGAUUGCGUAGGCAGCUGACCAGAUCGCAAAUGACGCUCAUGCACGAAAGUGCGGGGAUCGAACAGGAUUAGAUACCCUGGUAGUCCGCACAGUAAACGAUGAAUACUUGUUUUCGGCGAUAUAAUGUCGGAGGCAAAGCGAAAGCGAUAAGUAUUCCACCUGGGGAGUACGCCGGCAACGGUGAAACUUAAAGGAAUUGACGGG
rnacentral:rRNA from 1 species